UAAAAAGGGACACACGCAGCACUGAGGAGAAUGAAUGACCUCCUCAAACAAAGUGGCUGUGAGCGUGAGGAUCUGCGGAAAACUGUACAGGACUGCUUCAUCUACAAAAAUCCGGGUAGCAGCCGUGACAACUAGUGUGACAAGAGGAAACUAAAGCACAGUGCUGAGCUCUGCUGACGCCCUGCAGAGGGAGACAAGAACAUGUGAAUGUAACUCUGAGGAGCUUCAACAGCAGACUGAGGGAGUCAGGGUUACUGAGAGGCAGAACACAAGCGCUCCCUCUGUGAAAAAAAUUGGAAUACUUCACCACAGUGUUUUUUUUUUUUGUCACGGAACUGGCAGAUCCAGUCGCUCCUGAAUUGCAAAUUAGAAGCUUGCAAAAGCUUCUUUGACAAAACAGCUGCAUGCUUUAUUUAGCUUUUCAAGGACAUUUUAAUAUUUAAGCAAAUUUAGCUGCUGCUAACAUUUCACAAGACGUGAGGGGUUUCUAAAAUAGAUUUUCUUUAAGUACAUACACAAGCCAUCUGGUAAAAGUAGAUGCAUUAAGUGCAAUCUGAUAAAUUUAAACAACAAUGUUACUGCUUUCAUAGAGAAGCAGUUUCCUUUGGAUCAGAAUAAAAGCCUGAAAAUUAAAAGAAAGGGGCAGAUUUACAAAAUAGAUUUGACAAACACUGUAAAUCCAGUUUAUUGUAAACUGGUACAGUCAGAAAAAUAAUGUUUGGGCUCAACAAAACAAAUGCUAAAACAACAAUUUGCAUCAGUCUUUUUGAGUUAAGACAACUUUUAAUGAAAUUAUGUUCAACCAACAGAGGACACUGAGAUAUGAGAAUUAGCUUUUCCUGUACAGUUAAGGGUGUUUUGAACUACCAGUUUUAACUAUCCAAAAUUGACAUGUUUAGAUCGGGGAUGGGACAAUCCUGACCUCAGAUUGAAUAAAAAGAAGUUAUCAAGCCAAUUUCAUUAAAUUACCUCAACUUGGGUUUAGUUUUUAUUCAGCUAAUGCAAAAGUUUGAGUUUAAAUUACACAAAAUAUUAAGUUGAUGUAAUUACCAACAUUAUAAUGUCAACACAACCCAUUGAAAUAAUGUUUGCAAUUUAAAUAGUUUUUUUUCUAAAUCAUUGAAUUAGAUUUUUUUAAAAUCUUGUAGCAAUGCAUUUAAUUGGGUGAUGUGAAUAGCUCCUUUGAAUUACUUUUCAGAAUGUAAUGCAGUUAUGUGUGUGUGUUUUUCAUGCAAAAUGUGCAUGUGUGGAGGCCAGUUACAUGAAGGAGUUAAUAUGUUGCAUGUUGUACAGACAGUAAAGAACUCUGAGGACAAUUUGCGAUGUUUGGGAUAAACAAGUGAGGCACUAGUGACAUGGUGAAUAUUUAAGGUUUCACAAAUGUCAUUGUCCAUGAGAAAUAGCCUGACUGGUGUGAGGGAUCCUCUUUAAAGCUGCCAGGGUGCAUAUCAGUAGUAGUGGUUUACAUAACUCCUGCAGUGGUAAAUUCAUCCUAAAUGUAUUUGGGGGUGCAGAAGAUGCAUUUGAGGCUGAAUCUAAACGGUACAGCUUUCCAGUUCUACACAGUUACUAUUUAUGCAAAGUCAAAAGGGCUUUUCACUAAUAAAGCAAGCUAUUUCUGCGUAAACAUGAACUAGCUGUCUGCAAUGCUGUACUUACUCAUGUCUCUGAAUCAUAAAGUUAUAAACAGCAACUGUAUUUCUGAAAAGUCACACUGACAGGAACUGAAGUGACUCAAUUAUCGCUGUCUUUGAUUCCAGUGAGGAAAAACUUCACAUGUGCAGCCUUCACCAGGGUAAUUCGGGGGCCAAAAGGUAUGCAAUAGGAAGAAAAAGGUAACAAAAUACCUGUGUAGAUUCUCAAUCAUCAAGGUCAUAUUAAUCUAAGAGUUUCAGUAAAAAGCAGCUUUCAGCCAUAGAAGCCUCUUAGAUGAGAGGUGAAACAUCAUCAAGAACCAAAUAGUAGUCCAGUUGCUUUUUACUGAAGCUCUUAGCGAAGUAACAAAAUAUUUUGAUUAAAAAAUAAAGGUCAUUGGUCCUAAAUGUUUUCUUAAAAUGAUUUUUUUUUCUGCCAGAUCUAGUUCCACAAAUCCAGAGCCACAAAUUCUUAACUAAAGUUUGUGUACAUCUUAAAGCUAAUGUUGUGUUGUACAGUCAGGACAGAUUAUUCUGGUAAAUAACACCAAUAACCACACAGGAUAACACUCACACAGAGCAUUGAUUUAUUGUCAGCCGGCUUUCAGGAAGUAGCUGCUGGUAAAUAAGUUCAGUUUGGGGUUUUUAUAAGUUUUAUGAUAAAACUGUUUGUGCAAAUAUAUAUCAAUGUAAUCAUAGGAUGACCAUAAAGUCCCUGAUGUUAUUUUCUGCAUUACAUUCUAAUAAUAGGUAAAGUUUACUAAUUAGUUUAAUGCAACACAAUGACCCACAUAGAAAUUUAGAAAUCAUCCAGAACCUAAAGCUGCAGCUCUUUAAACAUGACCUUGUUAUAUGUAAUUCAUUAACUAUGUGGAGAUUUAUACACUGUAAAAUAAAACACAUUUAACUUACUACAGAUUACAUAACUUCAACCACAUGUCUAUAAUCGUCUGCCUAAGUUUGGAGGACAAUAAAGUUCCACAUAUCCUUUGUUGCCACAAUAAAACUUUAUAUUUUCUCCUUGAUUUAUUCGUUACUAAAGUCUUCACAAGAUUAAAAUUUUAUGAAGUUUUAAUGCUGCAGCUGAAUAUAGCAUUUGUUUGUUUGACAUCAGAUGGUGCUGUAAACUGAGAGAUCACAAAGUUAGAAACUGUCUUAGAAAGAGCUGACGCACAACAUCAAGUUAACUUUGUGUCUCCAAAAUCUCCGACACUGCUAUAGCAAGACUUUAUCAGUUUGAAAAUGUAUCAUAUAUUAAACUGAUCUUAAUACAUUCAUAAUAGUGUGGUAGACGUGAUUUAUGCACUCCUGAAGCCAUCAGGAUGUAUUUGUAGGCAUGACGAGAGAGCGUAUACAUUAUUUUUAUAUGCUGAAAGACAUGUUAUGAAUUAAAAAAGGAGCUAACUCCAGGGCUGAACAUCUCCACUUAAACGCUGCAGUGGAUCGAUGACAGCCUCAAAAACACAGAAUUGGACUGUCAGGUUUUCAGACGUAACAAACUUACAGAACCAACCUUGUCAAUCUGCAGAGUGGAACUUUCUCUAUCAUUAUUCUUCCUCAGAAUCUGGUUUGAACAUGUAUGAUUGAGUUACUUCAAUAUUACCGCUUGCCAUUGUGCAAUGUAGAGUAGUUUUACAGUGCUCAGGCAGAGAUAUAGAUGAGCUGGUCUGCUCGAGCUGCAGUGAGAGGGGAGGAGUUGAUGGAAAUAAAAGAUGGGAUUUUAUAGAUCUGCAGGAGGAAGAGGAAGCAGCAGCGUGGAGUUGCAUCCAAGCCAUUUUGAGACAGGAAGAGACUGAUUUCAUGGAAAAAUCUUCUAAAUAUGUAACGCUGGUACAAAGACAGGAGUUUUAAGGUUCAAUCAGUUACCAGUGCUAUUGACAUUUACAUAUAUUUAAUACGUGUGUUGAAAUAUAUGGACAUAGAAUCUACAAUGUAAAGAUGAUAAUACUCUUUAGGAGAGUGAAAAUCACCCCAAUUAAAUGUGCUAAGGAUGUAAUGCUUAUAAGAAGAGUCCAUAUGGGUCAGAUUCACAGUGACUCAUAAAAUAUAGGGUCAACAUGUGAACUGUAAAAAGAUGCUAACAUUGUUUUGUAUGUCCCAUAUGUGUUACUUGACCUGCCACAAUGUUCAUCACACAUGAUAGACUUAACAGAGAUUCCUUUGGUCCUGCAUAAUUGGCCUCAUACAGUUAUGCUGCUCAUGACAUGAGAACAGAAUCAGAGGCUAUUCUUACCUGUGUAGGCUGACGAUGCACACUGGGCAGGGUACAGAACGGUAUUUACAUUAAAAUGCUGCAUGGCUGUAGUCAGUUAACCUCAAGACCAGCUUGGUUUGUUGUGAAGAUCACAGAUUCUGAGGUUUUUCCUUUUUAAAAACCUGUUCUGAUUAUUUAUUGUUAGAGUAAUCCAGGGGUUGUGGUAGACGGACUAGAAAUUCUCCAUGAUACAGAGUUGAAUUGAAGGCCUUACUAACUGUGUGUAAGUUUCUGGAUGGUAUGGGCCCAAAAGAUAUGUUUGCUGAAUACAAACCUGUAAGAUCAAUCCGCUUUAUUCUAAAGUCUGGUCUUCACUGUCUCAUUUUUUUCUACACUUUUCUUCACUUGAUUUGAAUUCACUUUGUUCUAUUAUAUUUAUACUUUAUAUUUUAUGCAUUUUUGUUUUUCUUACCUUUUGUCUUUCUCUGCUGUCUCAGUCAACCAGUUUCAUUUCUAUAAAAUGUGCUUAACUUGUCUGUGCUGUUUUUGAUUUAACCAAUUAAAUGAAUUUCAUUCUGCUGCUGCCUAGUCAGUAUUGUAUUUUUCAGCUUUGCCUAUAAAGCCCUUUACAUAACCUCUGUGUAUAACAAGGUGCUAUAAAAAUAAACAUGCUUGCUUCAAAGCAGGGCAGGUAUUUAAACGCUGAGCAGAUAUUCUGGUUUGAACUGGAGAGUUGGACUUCUAAUUAGAAUGAAGGAGGAAGGUGAGAAUCACAAUGGAAGAGGUCAGUCAUGUACAAAUACGACCUGGCAGGCAGAAAUCUCUGAUACAUCUGAAGCUUAAGCUGUAUCUACUUGAGGAUGUGUCAGUGUAUAUCCAUAUUUUCUUGCAGCUUUAUAGUCGGUUAGUUACUGCAUGAAUAUGAACCUUAGAAAUGGUCAGACUCUGCCCAUCCGACAAGCACUUCAGUCUGAGUAAAUCCUGCUUCAGACUCCUCGCAGAGCUUCAGCAUUCAAUCUGAAUCCAACAUGGGUCAAGUCUGAACCGCAUGUAGAGGCAUUAAAGAAAUAGCUCGCAGUUUUAAUGAGCAAAGUGGAAGAAAGCGGCGAAAAUAGCUCAGGUGCAGUCUGUUGCAUGGUGGCCACUUUUCUGCUACCAGCUGAGGAGAAAAUGUAUGGAAGCCCGUUUCCGCCAGAGGGGGGGGUAGAAAUGUAAGAAAAAUAUUUUGAAUUUAGAAAACAGGUCUGGUUUUGCAGUAAAAUAAUAUACAGCUGGCAAGACGCAGUUUAAGAAUAAUUGAACUGUAGCUUAGAAAGAGGAUGUGUGUGUGUGUAGGUGUGUGUGUGUGUGUGUGUGUGUGUGUGUGUCUCCUGUCUGAUGUGAAGGGAAGUGCACAGCAUCAUUUACAGUUAGGUCCUGAAUGAUUCUGUUUCCAUGUUAAGGAUAAUUUAUUAAAAAAAAAAUAAUUAAUGAAGCUCCCGCCUUUGUGCCACAUGCAUAAAUGCACACAAGCCCAUCGCUUCGGAGACACUGGUGUGGAUCCUGCUGCUGUUUGAUGCUGCAGAUUUACAAUAAACUCAAUAGAAACCUCAGAUGCUGUUGAUGUCAAAUUCAAAUUACAUUAAUGUUUGCAAUAGAUGUGAAAUUUUAGAGCAAAGAAAAGGAGGCAAAACCCAACAUACAUGAAAGGAUGUGUCUUUUCUGCUCUCUUUGAUGUUUGUUGAUGCUGGAAAUGCCUUUCAAUUUUGUAUUGUUUGUCUUAAUACUAACUUGGGCCAUGUGAGACUGUGAGACCAAACCUGAAAACAGGUGGCAAACUUGGCUGGACAAGCUUUGUAGCUAUAGACUCCUCUUCUUCACCAAGCUGCUGAGGUACCUUGAAUUUCUACAUUGUAAAAAUUAAUGGUUUUAGCAGUAAUUGUUUGAACAAUUUGCUGUUAUUUUACAGGCAUCAUGUAUUCUUUAUUAUUAUUUUUUUUUUUAUAAGCCUUAUCUGAAUCUUAAAAUGACCCAACAGCCUGCCGUUGCUGGGGCUCACUCUCCUGACCUUGUGAUCAGUAGCUCAAUCUGUAUUUGUUAUAAAUGACUUUUGGUUCUUUUAGAACAUGUAAGCAUAAAAUUUGACAAUGUUUUACUGUAUCUGAGUAAGAUAUAUUAUAGAUAUGUGCCAUUAUUUUCACUGUAUUUAGUGUUUUAGAAAUGUUACUGUUCCACUUUUUCUGCAUUUUGAAAUGUAUUUGAAACUGAUAUUUUCUGUUAUUUGAAGCAAAAAUGAUGUGUGAUGAGGAUUAAAUAUUCAACUGUAGUUUAACUGUUUUGAUCAGUUGCAAAUAAUAUCUAGUGAAACCACAGAAAAAAGUAAUAAUUUGCAUGUUUACUGUAAAUAGAGCAGAGUAAGACUGUAUAUAAUGUAUACAUCAGAAAUCUGUAUUGUGCAUUAUGUGUAUGUAAAAUUACACUGUCUCACUGUAUUUUAAACAGCUAAAAUAUCA